rnacentral:rRNA from 1 species
AUUGAACGCUGGCGGCAUGCUUUACACAUGCAAGUCGAACGGCAGCGCGGGGCAACCUGGCGGCGAGUGGCGAACGGGUGAGUAAUACAUCGGAACGUACCCAGAAGUGGGGGAUAACGUAGCGAAAGUUACGCUAAUACCGCAUACGACCUAAGGGUGAAAGUGGGGGACCGCAAGGCCUCAUGCUUUUGGAGCGGCCGAUGUCUGAUUAGCUAGUUGGUGAGGUAAAGGCUCACCAAGGCGACGAUCAGUAGCUGGUCUGAGAGGACGACCAGCCACACUGGGACUGAGACACGGCCCAGACUCCUACGGGAGGCAGCAGUGGGGAAUUUUGGACAAUGGGGGCAACCCUGAUCCAGCAAUGCCGCGUGAGUGAAGAAGGCCUCGGGUUGUAAAGCUCUUUGUCAGGGAAGAAACGGUUACUGGUUAAUACCUGGGCGUAAUGACGGUACC